UAAUACAGCAUUAAGAACACGGUUCCGCAAGGGACAGGGUUCAAAGCCGGCUUUUUUCAUGAAAGCUGGCGCCAGGGGAUGAGCCUGCGGCCCAUCAGCUAGUUGGUAGGGUAAUGGCCUACCAAGGCGAAGACGGGUAGCUGGUCUGAGAGGAUGAUCAGCCACACUGGAACUGAGACACGGUCCAGACUCCUACGGGAGGCAGCAGUGGGGAAUCUUGCGCAAUGGGCGAAAGCCUGACGCAGCGACGCCGCGUGAGUGAUGAAGGCCUUCGGGUUGUAAAGCUCUGUGGAGAGGGACGAAUAAGUGUUGGCUAACAUCCAGCAUGAUGACGGUACCUCUUUAGCAAGCAC
rnacentral:rRNA from 1 species